rnacentral:rRNA from 1 species
AGGGUGAACCUGCGGAGGGAUCAUUACAAGAACGCCCGGGCUUCGGCCUGGUUAUUCAUAACCCUUUGUUGUCCGACUCUGUUGCCUCCGGGGCGACCCUGCCUUCGGGCGGGGGCUCCGGGUGGACACUUCAAACUCUUGCGUAACUUUGCAGUCUGAGUAAACUUAAUUAAUAAAUUAAAACUUUUAACAACGGAUCUCUUGGUUCUGGCAUCGAUGAAGAACGCAGCGAAAUGCGAUAAGUAAUGUGAAUUGCAGAAUUCAGUGAAUCAUCGAAUCUUUGAACGCACAUUGCGCCCCCUGGUAUUCCGGGGGGCAUGCCUGUUCGAGCGUCAUUUCACCACUCAAGCCUCGCUUGGUAUUGGGCAACGCGGUCCGCCGCGUGCCUCAAAUCGUCCGGCUGGGUCUUCUGUCCCCUAAGCGUUGUGGAAACUAUUCGCUAAAGGGUGUUCGGGAGGCUACGCCGUAAAACAACCCCAUUUCUAAGGUUGACCUCGGAUCAGGUAGGGAUACCCGCUGAACUUAAGCAUAUCAAU